rnacentral:lncRNA from 1 species
AAAUCUGGAUCUUGAACCUCCAAAAGCUUAGAAAUCCGGAUCUUGAACCCCCAAGCAGUUCUCCCAGGAACAACAUCGGACAAACAAUCAAACCCAGACCUAAAAGCCAUCACCGAUUGCAUAGCAAAAAUCAAUCCUAGGAGUCAUUGGAGUGAGUAACAAAAGCAAAAAUAAGUAAACAAAGAAAUUAAGCAAAUAACAAGAAGAAGAAUCAAGCGAAAGGAAUGAAGAAUACAACCCACACCAUCAGACUAUAUAUAAUNN